GUUCCAUCUCGGUGUUUUCUGUCAUUGUGAACUAUAAAUAUAUCACUUUCCUGACAGUCUUGAAAGUGAAAGGAAUUCUGAAAAUCCUUCAUUCUCAGAGAUCAAAAGCUACUGUAGACCCUGGAGAAGACUUCUGUUAUUAGAGGGAACGCCUACUGAACCUCGGACAACUUCACCAAUGAUAGAUGAGGCAACACUGCAGUGGUGGAGGACAUAAAAAGGGAAAUUCAUGAGACCCUCAGGGAGCAUUACAUAGGAAGUUACAUAUCUAGUUUUAUAUUAUUGGUAGCAAUUAUAUUGUAAUGACUUCUAUCCAUUAGUACUACGGGGGAGUUAAAUCAACCGGAGUGUGCACUGGUAACAGCCAUGGAGUCCUAGGUCAC